rnacentral:rRNA from 1 species
UACGAAGGGGGCUAGCGUUGUUCGGAAUCACUGGGCGUAAAGGGCGCGUAGGCGGCUUUGUAAGUCGGGGGUGAAAGCCUGUGGCUCAACCACAGAAUUGCCUUCGAUACUGCAUGGCUUGAGACCGGAAGAGGUAAGUGGAACUGCGAGUGUAGAGGUGAAAUUCGUAGAUAUUCGCAAGAACACCAGUGGCGAAGGCGGCUUACUGGUCCGGUUCUGACGCUGAGGUGCGAAAGCGUGGGGAGCAAACAGG